AUGUUAUCAACUUUAGAGGGGUUCAACCCGUGUUUAUCCCUGCCGUAUGGAAAUUGAGAGUUCCCCCUAAAAUUCAUGUAUUUCUCUGGCUUCUCUCCAAAAACAUUGAUGACUAGGGAUAACCUUAGGAAGAGACACACCAUCAAACCCCUUGAUUGUGUUUACUGCUUGGAACAAGAGUCUUGUUCUCACCUAUUGUUUGAAUGUAUAGUUGCUAAACAUCUCUCGGCCCACAUUGAGGAAUAUUUAUCUAGUCAGAUUGGCUCAUCCUUCGAAUCUGCCGCCAGAUUCUGGAUUGCUACCAAAAAGUGCUCAGUUUUAAACACUGUUAGCUCAGCUGUCCUUUGGUGCCUCUGGAAAUAUAGAAAUGCUAUGAUUUUUAGUAACACCUCCUGGAUUUCCAUUCCGCAGGUCUUGAGGUUGAUCAGGAACAUGGUGAGGAACUGGGCGAUUCUCUCCUCCGGAUCGGACAAGGACAAGUUGAGGAGCUUCCAGGAAACCCUAAUAAGAUCCCUCCAGAAAUCGUUGGCGAUCACUUGUGGCUGA
rnacentral:rRNA from 1 species